UGCACUGAGAGAGGCAAAAACUACCCGCAUUAUUACGGAAGGAACAAGAUUUGUUUUUUUAUCAUUCAAAAAUGUUGGUGGUUUAACGCUGAAGUACGCGCCAAACAUAUGCGUUAUUAAUGGGAGGCAGAUUAUGUCUGAAUCGUUGACACUGACGUGACAUUCUAUUUAAUUAUUUAAAUGUACAGCAAGAAAUUAAGUUAACCACUCAAGUCAAGACAAUUCAGUCACUGCUGAGUAUCAAACUUUCGGUGUGACAACUUUGUAGUUAGGCUAGCUACGCCCUCCGUAAGACAGCAUGGGUUGGUAAACUAGCCAACACACCGCAAGCAUGCUAGCCUAGCAAGGUUCUGCAUGUUUGAUAACAAGAACGUAAUGUUAAACUACGCUUUCCUUACAAGCGGCAAGCUAUAGCAGCUAACUAACUUUGCUAGCUAAUACUUUGCAAGCUUGCGAACGAAUGCCUUAAUCGACGCUCGCUACACUGCUAGCGCUCGACCAGCAUAGCGUCAGUCAGAAACCCACCUCAUCAACAGUCCGCCUCGGGAGAUGCAGCAUCCCAAGCAAGAGUUUUAGCUUCACCGGAGGCGAUAAACUCGAAAAA